rnacentral:tRNA from 1 species
AAAGGGGUAGCUCAAGGGUAGAGCAUGGCAUUUGUUUGUAUCGUGUGGGUUCGAAUCCCACUUCUAUUU